CAGAGAGAGACAGACAGACAGACACGGGGGGGAGGGGGAGGGCUCUUUUUGGCUCCCUUUGCAUCUUGGUUUCUUCUAAGCUUCUGAGUAUCUCAAACUAGCCGAGAUCACUGGCCAUCUAGACUCCUUGCAGAGUCUGAGGAAAUUUGGCCUCGUUUUUCUGGGGCUGGGGAAUGAGCUCCGGAGGUCAAUAAAGCCCUCCAAAAAUGAUGAAUGAUUGAGCACCUGUGAUGAUAAUAGUGAUUACCAGAGCAAUUAAACAGUUUGAUUAAAUGAGCCAUCAUAACAAUGAUGUCUGCGGGAAAUCGGCCCUCACAUAUAAAGACAGUGUGGAGGGGCUGGCAGAGGCGCUGAGAGCGCGCCGGGAGAAGGGAUGCGGCCCGCGCGGAUUUGGCUCCAUGAGCCAAAGCAGGGGCGGCGGGCUCAGGGAGUUUCUGGGGGCAGUCUAGCCUAGGGUUUCGCUAUUUUUUUCUGCCUGGCUUCAAGCCUAAGACAACCAACUCGUCUGGAACCCGAGGGGCCAUAGGGUCCUUUCCUCCUCCUCUCCUCUUCCCCUCCUUUUUUUCCUCCCUAGAAGAACUCCAAGAUUACAAAUACCCACUUCAUUUGAUGCUGAGUUACUCGUCGACACAUAAGAAAAGGUUAAACAUGAGAGCUGGAGAGAUGACUCAGUGGGGGAAGCACUUGAUUUGAAAGCACCAAGACCUGAGUUCAGACUCCCAGAACCCAGAUAAAGCUUGACACACUAUCACAUCUAUAAUCCCAGUGUUCCUAUGGCAAGAAGACAGGUGGGAAUGGGGCAAUUCCCAGCAACUCUUUGGCCAACUAGCCUCCUGUGACAGUGCUGACAUAACUAGAGACCCUUUCUCAAAAAAGCUGCAAGGUUUUGCAAGAAGAAGCUGCUUGUUCUUUAGGCAGGUGGCUCCCUGUGCUGCAGUUGAGGAGCUUCAAUCAUCACUGACAAGCCCACAAUCCACAAAGUCCUGGGUGUCUCCUCCAGCUAUCGCUGUCUGAAGCUUUUCAAAGGUUUUUGUAGUCCUCUUAGGUCGCUUUUCAUGCAUUCCACAAUGUAAAUGGAAAAGUUCAUCCACACUGACAUGAAGAGCUCCAUUUUGCUGGAACUUUUUGCUUUUUCACCAGAAAUAAUCCUUUCUUUCUUUUGUGUAAGGCUCAGGCUCAUCUACAAAUUCUUGGACUCUUUCUUAGAGAUGCAUAGCCCAGCAAAAUUGAAGCCUCUCCCCCUGAAAUAGACAUCAACCAACAAGUGUGUGCUGCUUUUAAAACCAAGGACAGGUUGUUGGAAAGAAUGAACUUUCUAAGUGGCAAUGUAGAAACAGUAAGCUGGGACCAAGAAGAGUCACUCAUCAACCACUCCUGUUGUUUUUAGGUAGACUUACUAUGCUUUAAAAAUUGUAUUAUUUCAAUAAAACAAUCUACAAAUAAAUACAAAACAAAAGGGCACGUGUAGGGACACAUUGAAAGGAACCAUGCAUACCAAAAAGCUAAGUGCAAAUUGGAUUUGAAUAUUCAUGAGUCACAAAUCAUUGACAGUUUGAAACAAUGCAAAACAGCUUUAUAAAUGAGGUUAAGGCAAGGGACACCAAAGGAAUGCAUCAUUAAAUCAAUAGAAGUUUGUGUAUGUACUUGUAAAUUGUGGUUACAGUGUUUGUGACAUGGGAGAAAAAAUACUGUGGAUCUGAUGAAGAGGGUUGACACAUAAAUAUUCCCUCUGCAUGUUAUAUUUUUGCAGUUCAUCAUGUGCUUGGAACUGAGCCAGGUAGAGAGUGGUUGGACAUUGUACUUCCUGCUCAAGAAAGAGUUUCCUUGUGCAGACAGUGAGUUUCAGACCUCUGCCCGGACAGUCUUUAUUUGCCCUGCUAAAAAGUAUUAAACAUACAACCAUUCACACAGUUGAUUCCUAAAGCAGAGGUUAGCACGUAGCAUACAUAACUUUGGAGAAUGACAGCCUUAAAUCAGUUCGUGGGAGCUCCCACCAGAGAGCACGGGAUCUUAGAGAAUGCUCUAAUGCUUAGAAGGGCACAGAGGGGAAAAAUAGCUUUGUGAAGAGUUUGUAAGAAUCUCUUGAUAACAAAGCAAGAACAUUCGCUAACAAUGAGAAAUCAUACAGUAAAAUAAUUGAAGUUGCAAAAUGUUGGCAACCCAGCAGUUCUAUUGGAAGUGUUUUUGUUUUGUUCAGCAGUGACUCUUCACUUGUAGGACCCCGACUGUGGCUGUAGGGAACACGUAGCCUGUGGUUGGAGUCAUAUUUGAGACAGUAGGACUUACAAACCUAAGCCAUCUUAGGGCUUGUGUUAACAUAGGGACACUUCUAAGUUAAGCAGCUUCUCUUAGAAGCUUACUUUGGGUGAUCUGUAAGUUAUGAAGCAUUUCUCUAAGAUGCUGCUCAGCAAAUCUCUUUCUCAUAUCCCAUCUCCGGUUCUUGGAUGAUGGCUGAAGUGGGUGCCACAGCAUGAAAAUCAGGGUGCACAUGGUACCAAUUUGGAAGAAGCUGAAGAAUGUGGUCAGUUUAGAAAAUUCUUCUAUAUCUUUUUGCUGGGCCAUCCUUUAAGGCAGACAUUCAAAUUCAGGAUCUACAAUUCAGCUGAGACAUGACUCAUGAGAAAGAGAUGUCAGCAUUUCUCCAGUUCACUGCCAUGUAGACAAAGAAGCUAACGUGACCCAUGUGUUAACCAUAAUCAAGGACAGCCAUAAGAAAACAAUACAAACAAUAACUUAAUUUUUAAUGAAUGAUUUUUUUUUGUGACCGGGCAAGGUUUCAUAUAUACCUACACUGGACUCAAAUGAAUUUUCUUGUGGCUAAGGAGGUGAUUCAGUGGGUAACAGUGCUUGUAUGUAACCAUGAGGACCUGAGUUCAAAUCCUAGUACCAUGUAAAAAGUUAGGUAUGGCUAUGUGUGCCUGUAACCUCAGCACUGGGAGACAGAGAUACACGGAUCUCAAAUCUCAGGAAGCUUUCUGGCCAGCUAGCCUAGCCAAAAUGGUGACCUUGUGUUUUCAUUGAGAGUCUAUUAAAGACAUAAAGCAGAGGGCAAUAGAGGAAGAAAGACACCUUGUGUCCUUGUUUGGUGUUUUCCCUCUGGCCUCUGUAUUGCUUGCCUGCAUACCCACAUACGCAGAUCACAUAAUACAGUAUGUACAUACAUGUACAUCCCAAAAUAGAAAUUAACUAAAGAGUGAAAAACUUAUUAAUUAGGUUUCAAAAUGUCACUAUGUAUCCAAGGAUGUUCUUGAACAACUGCUCUUCACGUCUCUAUGCCUCAAGUGUUAGGAUUCUAGGCUAGCCCCACCAUAGCUGCCUCACACAGUGCUGGGGACUGAACUUUGGACAUCUCACAUACUAAGCAAGCACUCUGCCAUCCAGGCACAUUCCUACCCCCUUUAAUGUCUGACUGAGUUUCUCUGUGUAACAGCCCUGGAUAUCCACCUUCAUUUUCAUUAAGCCAUAGGCCCAAACUUCCUUGACAAGGGUAAUUUGUAAUACCUAUACAUUUGGUAAUUUUCAAAUAAGUGCUCUCUCUCUCUCUCUCUCUCUCUCUCUCUCUCUCUGUGUGUGUGUUUAAAUUGCUUAACAUCUAAGUUAAACACAGUAUCUGUGUUGAUCAAGGAAUCUAAGUAUUGUCUUCCUCAUAGGACUUUAGGUGAGAAGAAAUUCAUUUUCAUUUUUUUGUCAUCUGAUUAUUUUAUUGUUUUUUUUUGUCUGUGUUAUGGAUUGAACCCAGGGUCUUGUGCACACUAGGCAAGUGCUCCAUUCCUGAGAUGCACCCAUAGCUGUUC